UACGAAGGGGGCUAGCGUUGUUCGGAAUUACUGGGCGUAAAGCGCGCGCAGGCGGUUUCUCAAGUCAGGGGUGAAAUCCCGGAGCUCAACUCCGGAACUGCCUCUGAUACAGCACGUCUUGAGUUCGAGAGAGGUGGGUGGAAUUCCUAGUGUAGAGGUGAAAUUCGUAGAUAUUAGGAAGAACACCGGUGGCGAAGGCGGCCCACUGGCUCGAUACUGACGCUGAGGUGCGAAAGCGUGGGGAGCAAACAGG
rnacentral:rRNA from 1 species